UUCAUCGCGAGGUGUAAUCUGAAGGAAGUCUUCGGCAAAGAUCUGGCCUGACGAACAGAAACUUGAUACCAAGGCUCACGAGUGUGGAUUAGUUUGCAAUACAAAACAAAGUCCUAUAGCUGUUCGGAACACUUGGAGUAAAUCAAGCAGGUAUAAGAUUGAAAGAAUACGUC
rfam:Macellibacteroides sp. HH-ZS contig_00027, whole genome shotgun sequence.